rnacentral:misc_RNA from 1 species
UCCUGGUUUCCCAGGCAGUCUCGUUAGAGUGCCUUCACAAGGAAGUAGCAACUAACGACAAGAGUUGCGCUCGUUAUAGGACUUAACCCAACAUCUCACGACACGAGCUGACGACAGCCAUGCAGCACCUGUGUAAGUGUUUAACCCGAAGGUUAAAAGAUCGUAUUUCUACGACUGUCACAGACAUGUCAAGCCUAGGUAAGGUUCCUCGCGUAGUGUCGAAUUAAACCACAUGUUCCACCGCUUGUGCGGACCCCCGUCAAUUCCUUUGAGUUUUAGUCUUGCGACCGUAAUCCCCAGGCGGAUCACUUAACGCGUUAGCUACGACACUAAUUCCGCAAAGCAGAACUAACGUCCAGUGAUCAUCGUUUACAGCGUGGACUAC